GCCUACAGAGACACACAGGGGUUAGAGGUCAGGGGGGGUGUCUCUUCAGGCAACAGAGAGGAUAGCAGCCUUCUGGUAGACAUAGAUGGCCUACAGAGACACACAGGGGUUAGAGGUCAGGGGGGGUGUCUCUUCAGGCAACAGAGAGGAUAGCAGCCUUCUGGUAGACAUAGAUGGCCUAUAGAGACACACAGGGGUUAGAGGUCAGGGGGGGUGUCUCUUCAGGCAACAUAGAGAGGAUAGCAGCCUUCUGGUAGACAUAGAUGGCCUAUAGAGACACACAGGGGUU